rnacentral:misc_RNA from 1 species
ACGCAUAUUGCGCUCUCUGGUAUUCCGGGGAGCAUGCUUGUUUGAGAACCGUUUUCACCCCUCACACCUUAUUUCCGAACUCUCGGGUUCGGAGGUCGGGUGUGGAUCUGGUUCUAUCCCAAGUCACAUUGGGUGAACUGAAAUAAAGUCGCCGGAGCGUAGUCAGUUCGAGGAUUCAUGACCAAUGGAACUAACCCGACAAGACGGAGAUAAUGUGGUACUCUUAACCGAGUGUCACUUCUCAUGCGUCGAAGGUGUUUUAGGUUUCGGUCGCGAUUCAUCCCAAACUCGAGCAUUAAAAGGCUUUGCGCAUACGGCUCACUUUGACAGGCCAGGCAGUCUCUCUUGAAACCGGGAGAGGUUGAAUACCUGAACUUUUGGUAUCUAAUCAGGUAAGAGAACGCGCUGAACACAA